rnacentral:lncRNA from 1 species
UCAUUAAGGCACAUUUAGUUCUAAAAUUUAAAGCUAUAGAAAAAUGGAGUGAUUUGCCCAGGAAGAGGCAAGUUUCUUGAAUCUGAAGACUGGGCAAGCCCUUGUCAGAUAUAUUAACCACUAGAUUCUUUUGUGAUUCUUAUCUUAUUAUUUCUUUUUGUUUCUGCUCAAAAAGCACCUGAAUUCCCUUCUGACUCUCAAAUCUUGUGAUUCUGUUCAACACCAACCUUCCAUUUCAUUUGCAGAUCUGCCUUAAUGUUUAAAUAGCUCGCAUGGGCAUAGGAGACCCUGCUCGUUUCACCUCCCAGCUGGAAGGAUUGACCAUCUCUCCCCAAGCCAGGAUAUUAAUUUGGGGAGCUGUAUCAUGAGAAGCUUGCAGCCAUCUGUUUAUUGAUUCUAGCACAGUUUCAACAGAGCCAACCCUGUCUGUUCCUCACACUGUAACAAGGCCUCAUUUCUUUGUUUACAGUUGCAGAGACUCGCAAGGUCACAGCAGGAAGUCAGCAAGGAAAUGAACCUCUUCCAGCUGGUGGAUUAAUUUCAGUGUUCCAAAAGUCUUAAUGCAGCUUUAAGCUUAGUGGCUUAAAACCAAGAGAUGAUCAGCUGAUGAAGGAGUGAGGAAAGGAAUAUACGUGGAGAACCAAGAGAACAAGAAUGGUAACAAAUGUAUUCUAUUGAUACUCUCAUGUGGUUGCAAGUCAUGGAAUGCUGUAGUCUCUGAAGAACUGAAAAUUAGUAUACUACAGAGAGCAAAGUAUGAAGAUUCUACAGAAGGGGGAACAUCAUACUUUCCCAAGGAAAAAGUUGACCACCUACAAUCUCAUCAGCAAGCAGAUGGACUCAAUUUUUUAACUCAAUUCUUUCUCAGCUCCCUCAGUUGUCUCUCUCUUAUGCACUGAGGGUUUGAGGGAGCUAUAACAAACUCCUCCCAAUUCCUUCCUUUAUAGAGAGCUCAGAACUUUUCAGGUAACUUUCCAUUUUUCAUCAGUGACUCUACUUGAUUUCUACUUCUUGGAAAAUUGAACCUCUUAGAUCCCUCCUCACCUGUUUUAGCUUCUUUUUGUGUAUUGUCUUUUGCCAUUAUAUAAUAAAUUCCCUGAGAACAGAAA